GUGAGGAAUAUUGGUCAAUGGGCGAGAGCCUGAACCAGCCAAGUCGCGUGAAGGAAGAAGGAUCUAUGGUUCGUAAACUUCUUUUGCAGGGGAAUAAAGUGCGGGACGUGUCCUGUUUUGUAUGUACCCUGAGAAUAAGGAUCGGCUAACUCCGUGCCAGCAGCCGCGGUAAUACGGAGGAUCCGAGCGUUAUCCGGAUUUAUUGGGUUUAAAGGGUGCGUAGGUGGUUUGAUAAGUCAGCGGUGAAAGUUUGCAGCUUAACUGUAAAAAUGCCGUUGAAACUGUCGGACUUGAGUGUAAAUGAGGUAGGCGGAAUGCGUGGUGUAGCGGUGAAAUGCAUAGAUAUCACGCAGAACUCCGAUUGCGAAGGCAGCUUACUAAGCUACAACUGACACUGAAGCACGAAAGCGUGGGGAUCAAACAGGAUUAGAUACCCGAGUAGUC
rnacentral:rRNA from 1 species